GUGGGGAAUAUUGGACAAUGGGCGCAAGCCUGAUCCAGCCAUGCCGCGUGAGUGAUGAAGGCCCUAGGGUUGUAAAGCUCUUUCACCGGUGAAGAUAAUGACGGUAUCGGAGAAGAAGCCCCGGCUAACUUCGUGCCAGCAGCCGCGGUAAUACGAAGGGGGCUAGCGUUGUUCGGAAUUACUGGGCGUAAAGCGCACGUAGGCGGACAUUUAAGUCAGGGGUGAAAUCCCGGAGCUCAACUCCGGAACUGCCUUUGAUACUGGGUGUCUGGAGUAUGGAAGAGGUGGGUGGAAUUCCGAGUGUAGAGGUGAAAUUCGUAGAUAUUCGGAGGAACACCAGUGGCGAAGGCGGCUCACUGGUCCAUUACUGACGCUGAGGUGCGAAAGCGUGGGGAGCAAACAGGAUUAGAUACCCGAGUAGUCC
rnacentral:rRNA from 1 species